ensembl:ncRNA C03C11.5 ncRNA
AACACAAACCAUAGAAAAAAUAUAAAAGUGAUAAAGAAUGGGGUGGCUCCGCCGGGGGCCUUCGGUGUCGGAGCGGUCCACCGGGGGCCCACAAGACGAAUCUUUCCAAGACAGGCAGACAGAGAGAGACAGAGAGAGAGAGGGACGUGCCCGAAACGGGGGAAAAAAGAAGUUAAAACUCUGGUGAAAGAGAAAAGAGGAAGGA